CCUACGGGAGGCAGCAGUGAGGAAUUCUCUUGCCAUUGGGGGCAACCCUGACGCAGCAACGCCGCGUGAGUGAGGAAGGUCUUCGGAUCGUAAAGCUCUGUCAGUUGGGAAGAAAUGUCUGGGAGUGAAUACCUUUCAGGCUUGACGGUACCAACAGAGAAGCACCGGCUAACUCGUGCAGCAGCCGCGGUAAU
rnacentral:rRNA from 1 species